UUAAGAGGAAGCUCUCCACAGGUGAUGUUCCCAGUAUUAAGAAUUGAUGAUCAGUUAAUGAGUGAAGAUGAGGUCAAAGAGAUAAAGACAGGACUGAGUGCUAUGAAGACAGGAGCUGUACUGGAUAUAUUCAGUGAAGAGGAUAUCACUGGGAAGGAGAAAUCCAAGUGGUCCAUAACUAGUCUCCGCCUGACUAGUCCAUAACAAGCUUGGAGUCUCGUACACUUCCCUUUGGAGUCUUUGUGGAGUCCUUGUAGUAUGAGUAUCCUGAUUUUAAUUCAGUAAAUUUAGUAGUAUCCUGGUAUACAUGUACCUACUGGAGUCUUAGAUAAGUCAACUUGAAAUCAUUGGAGUUUCAUAUCUUUUUGCUUCAUUACAGACCCCUUGGAGAAAUCAUGGCUGUCUUCUACCUCCUCUCUGGUGUAUGUACAUGUACAGUUAUAUUGCAGAGUCCCAGUGAGGCACUGUUAGCUGAUGGUAUUGAAGAGAAUGAUCAUUUAACGGAUAACUAGGACAAUGAUAAAGGAUAUAACAUAUUUUCCCUUUUCCUUAAAGACCACUGUAAAGACCACUGUUGAGAUACUGGAGUGGAUCAAGCGUAGACUGGAGGACAACUAGUGGUUACUGGCCGAGAGAAUGUGACACAGGGUGGCUUGAAAUUAGCAGUAUAUACU